rnacentral:lncRNA from 1 species
CUCAUGUCGGUUAGAUGCAAUUUUAGAUAAUUAAAAACACCUGCUUUUUCAUACUUGCUUUACCUUUGAUUACUGCUAUCUACUUUAUUUUAAUUUUUAAUAUGAAUAAAAGCACUUAAGUAAUAGAAAAGUGAAAAUAGCCAAAUGGUACAACAAGAAUUAAAAAAUUAUAGACAUUCAUCAAUGAACACGUAUGAGGUACUUGAAAGAAUAAAAUCAAAACAACCACAAGAAAAAGAAUUGCUGACCACAUACAACUUUAAAAAUAUGUAUCCAUCACUAAAAAUCGAGCCUACUUGCUUAGUAUUCUACAGAUUCCUACUAAAACAUAUACCCAAUGCAACAUCAAUAGCAGAAGUCCUUAGAGAAAACGUAUCCACUAUGCCACAACUUCUAUUUUUCCUUC